rnacentral:rRNA from 1 species
CGAGAUUCCCCCAGUAGCGGCGAGCGAACGGGGAGCAGCCCAGAGCCUGAAUCAGUGUGUGUGUUAGUGGAAGCGUCUGGAAAGGCGCGCGAUACAGGGUGACAGCCCCGUACACAAAAAUGCACAUAUUGUGAGCUCGAUGAGUAGGGCGGGACACGUGGUAUCCUGUCUGAAUAUGGGGGGACCAUCCUCCAAGGCUAAAUACUCCUGACUGACCGAUAGUGAACCAGUACCGUGAGGGAAAGGCGAAAAGAACCCCGGCGAGGGGAGUGAAAAAGAACCUGAAACCGUGUACGUACAAGCAGUGGGAGCACGCUUCGGCGUGUGACUGCGUACCUUUUGUAUAAUGGGUCAGCGACUUAUAUUCUGUAGCAAGGUUAACCGAAUAGGGGAGCCGAAGGGAAACCGAGUCUUAACUGGGCGUUAAGUUGCAGGGUAUAGACCCG